rnacentral:rRNA from 1 species
GACGAACGCUGGCGGCGUGCUUAACACAUGCAAGUCGAACGGAAAGGCCCUGCUUUUGUGGGGUGCUCGAGUGGCGAACGGGUGAGAAACACGUGAGUAACCUGCCCUUUACUUUGGGAUAACUUCAGGAAACUGGGGCUAAUACAGGAUAGGAGCUCCUGCUGCAUGGUGGGGGUCGGAAAGUUUCGGCGGUUGGGGAUGGACUUGCGGCUUAUCAGCUUGUUGGUGGGGUAGUGGCUUACCAAGGCUUUGACGGGUAGCCGGCCUGAGAGGGUGACCGGCGACAUUGGGACUGAGAGACGGCCCAGUCUCGUACGGGGGGCAGCAGGGGGGAAUAUGGCACAGUGGGCGGAAGCCUGAUGAGGCAACGCCGCGUGCGGAAUGACGGCCUUCGGGUUGUAAACCGCUUUCGCCUGUGACGAAGCGUGAGUGACGGUAAUGGGUAAAGAAGCACCGGCUAACUACGUG